rnacentral:piRNA from 1 species
UUGGGGGUUGGAAUAUAUUAUUGAUU